AACCUGCGGAAAUCAGGCCUCUGGCAGCAGAAGAGCCCCAAACACCUAGAAACACGAGGAUUAAUAGUUAAUAACGGCGCCGUAACUGGGGACGGCUUCAAAGCUCCUUCUCGUUAGCGUCAAACUUCGCUACCUGCGAGCCGCGGCCAACCGGAGGACUCAGGUGACCCUGCCAAAAAACACGCGCCCUUGAGGGAGAGAACGAGGGAGAGAGGAGGAGGAGAGGAACCUACUUUAAUCCACUUUCCCUCUGAUGCCACUUUCUGCUGUCCCACAUUGAGACGUGAAGGAGAGCGUGCGCGAGCGACCAGACCGGCGCCGUCUCUUUGUGCGCGCUCCAACUUGGCACAUCGGCGAUAUAAAGGGGGACAAACACACGCAUGCUGAUCUUUGUCAUGGCGACUGGAAAGAGGAUUUCCACAGAGUGGAGGAUUAAACAAACACACGCUCCUCUGAC